CGCUGGUUGGAAAGUGCUUGGCAGGGCUUCUCCGUGAGGAGGCCGUCCGGCCGCGCGUCACCCCGCGUUUCCGACGCAUUUGUCUCUCGCCCGAAGGACGCCGCAGCCGGUUGGGCAGCGUAAGCGUGACGGCCUGAAGGUCGGGAAAUGGCAGGUGGCCGGUGGCGAGCCUCGUGUUCGUCGCCGGUUGUUAGCCGUCCCGUCAGUGGCCCGUCGUCCGACCGAGGUGUCACGAAGCCGAAUGGCUCCGUCGUCUCCUGCCCCCGUUGUAGCGGGUAAGGUCGCAGGCGCGUCCCACCGUCCCGUCGCACUACUCUGGAGUGGGCGGGCGAAUGGGAGGUGCCGUUGGUGGCCGCGGCCCGCGGGAGGCCGGUGGCUGGCGGCGAGUAGGUCGGUCACCCACCCGACCCGUCUUGAAACACGGACCAAGGAGUCUAACAUGUGCGCGAGUCAGUGGGUCUUGAACAGGCCCACAGGCGCAAUGAAAGCAAAGGCCGCCUCUCGGCGGCCGAGUCGGGAUCCCCCGCUCCGGCGGGGGCGCACCGACGGCCCGUCCUCUCCGGCUCGCCGGUUGGGCGGAGCACGAGCGUACACGUUGGGACCCGAAAGAUGGUGAACUAUGCCCGGACAGGACGAGGCCAGAG
rnacentral:rRNA from 1 species